rnacentral:rRNA from 1 species
GACGAACGCUGGCGGCGUGCCUAAUACAUGCAAGUUGAGCGCUGAAGGUUGGUACUUGUACCAACUGGAUGAGCAGCGAACGGGUGAGUAACGCGUGGGGAAUCUGCCUUUGAGCGGGGGACAGCAUUUGGAAACGAAUGCUAAUACCGCAUAAAAACUUUAAACACAAGUUUUAAGUUUGAAAGAUGCAAUUGCAUCACUCAAAGAUGAUCCCGCGUUGUAUUAGCUAGUUGGUGAGGUAAAGGCUCACCAAGGCGAUGAUACAUAGCCGACCUGAGAGGGUGAUCGGCCACAUUGGGACUGAGACACGGCCCAAACUCCUACGGGAGGCAGCAGUGGGGAAUCUUCGGCAAUGGACGAAAGUCUGACCGAGCAACGCCGCGUGAGUGAAGAAGGUUUUCGGAUCGUAAAACUCUGUUGGUAGAGAAGAACGUUGGUGAGAGUGGAAAGCUCAUCAAGUGACGGUAACUACCCAGAAAGGGACGGCUAACUACGUG